CCCUUAGAUGUCCUGGGCCGCACGCGCGCUACACUGAUGCAUUCAACGAGUAUUUCCUUGGCCGAGAGGCCUGGGCAAUCUUUUAAACCUGCAUCGUGAUAGGGAUAGAUUAUUGCAAUUAUUAAUCUUGAACGAGGAAUUCCUAGUAAACGCAAAUCAUCAAUUUGCAUUGAUUACGUCCCCGCCCUUUGUACACACCGCCCGUCGCACCUACCGAUUGAAUGGUCCGGUGAAAUCUCGGGAUUGUGGCCAGUUCACUUUAUUGGGAGUUGGCUGCGAGAACUUGCUUAAACCUUAUCAUUUAGAGGAAGGUGAAGUCGUAACA
rnacentral:rRNA from 1 species